CCUACGGGUGGCAGCAGUGGGGAAUAUUGCACAAUGGGGGAAACCCUGAUGCAGCGACGCCGCGUGAGUGAAGAAGUAAUUCGUUAUGUAAAGCUCUAUCAGCAGGGAAGAAAAUGACGGUACCUGAGUAAGAAGCCCCGGCUAACUACGUGCCAGCAGCCGCGGUAAUACGUAGGGGGCAAGCGUUAUCCGGAUUUAUUGGGUGUAAAGGGCGUGUAGGCGGGAAAGCAAGUCAGAUGUGAAAACUCAGGGCUCAACCCUGAGCCUGCAUUUGAAACUGUUGAACUAGAUUGCAGGAGAGGUAAGUGGAAUUCCUAGUGUAGCGGUGAAAUGCGUAGAUAUUAGGAGGAACACCAGUGGCGAAGGCGGCUUACUGGACUGUAAAUGACGCUGAGGCUCGAAAGCGUGGGGAGCAAACAGGAUUAGAUACCCCAGUAGUC
rnacentral:rRNA from 1 species